CCGGGUGCUGCGCGUCCGCCGAGCGGCAGAGCCUUGGGAACCCUGCCUGGUAGCUCCGCCCAGGCCGUGUGGUCCUCGAAUCUGCGUUCCCCGUGGAGACCUCGCUACGCUCUGCCUUGAGGCACAGGCACAAACAACCCGCUUGAAGUCAGGGGCUCGGGUCUGAGUCCAAACCUGUGACCUUGGCCUGCUGCCAUCUCAUUGCCUCCCGGGUCACAUCUAAUUUUAAGAAUCUUUGCUGUUUCCCGGCUUUUGAACAGUUCUCUUCCAGGACUACAUUUUAAGUCACUCCGCAGGCCUUCUUCACGCCGCAGCGCCUGGGGUGCAGUGUCCUCAUUAUCGUAACUACGUCCUCCAACUCCCAUCAGGCAGCGACAUCUGGACAGUGAGGAUGCUUUUAGUUUUUGAAGUAUUCUCACGAGAGUCCGGGCUGUGGUGGAUCUUGAAUUUUCCAAAAGGCCUGAGACUUUUGGCAUCUGUGGAAGACUCUAUAUCGCCUUACUUUUGUUAAAAAUAUAAACUGGGGUUUUGAGUUUUAUUACCCAAUGUGACCUAAAUGGUGGUCAAAAGUUAUAGUAAAGGAAAGACAAGCUCACAACACUAGCAUUGCAGAUUUUUCCUCUCUAGAUUUCUGUAUGGUCACAUUUCUUUGCAGUUUUUUCACUUUUGAGAAUUUAACUAUUUAAAGACUUUUUAAAAAUUCUGUGGAUCCUGUGUAUAUCCAGUAUUUUUAAAAUUUAUCUUGUUUUUCUGCUUCGCAAAUUUAAACCGAGUGCCCCCCAACAGUUACUCUGCUAAGUUCUACUAAAAUUUUAAAAAUCAAGGAAUCAAGUUUUAUUUAUCCUACUGAAUAUGGAUUAAAUAGGAAAUUCAGAGGGUUAGCCGAAUCCAUGGUUAUUAAAAAUCUGGCAGUGGGAGUCCGGGGAAGGAAGCUAAGAACGUCCUAGAAACUACACUGGAAAACUGAAGGCAGGCACCUCUUCCAUGGAAAUCCAAUCAGCUUUAAGAGGACCCAGGAGGGCAGAACUGCCCUUGAAAUGCUAAAAUUGGGAAAACAGCUUGAGAAUGUUAUGAAGCAAGACACACUGACGUGAAAGAUAUUUUCAUCUCCACUCACUUGGUGCCAACUCAGAGCAAAGUUAGGAAAACAGAGCACCAUGUGCUGUAAAGUAAUACUGAAUGGAACAGAGACUUGGAUCUGAAGUGCAAGAUCAGGUGCUGAUGCUGGCAGAUUCCACGUUUGGUUUGCCCCACUAUCCAAAAGCUGGCUUCACACCACUUCGCUUUUACAAAUGACCUACAGUAGUACCUGUCUUCACUGAAGAAAUCCGAAGAGGAUUUUCACUUUUACGAAAAAAGGUGAAAAUAGCGUCCUGCAUUUGUUUUGCAGUGAGUCGUUACAGAGGCUAAGCAGUCAGGCAUACUGUCAUAUUUCAAACCUUCCACAUCAGCCACAGCAGACAAUGAACCUGGACCUUCGACAUCGAGACAGGCAGACACAGAAGAAGGGUCUCCUGUACCCCCCACCGUCCCCACCUCAGACGACUCAGCCUUCACAUCAUCACCG
ensembl:lncRNA